UAGCAAACCAUGAAGAAGUCCCCAACUAUGGUUACAAUAAGUAAAAAGAUACCCCCUGCCUUCUUGCAUGCAGAAGAAAAAAGUGUAGCGUUGACCUCUGGCUGACACAGAGAAAGCUGAGGGAGGGGAUGGGGGGGGGGGAAGCAGCAGAAAGCGCGACAGAGAGGAGAGAGCUGAGACAACAACUGUGAAGAGCCGCAUAGGGUUAAAGAAAAACUGUUUCAGAAGGAAAUGGGAGACAAAAGCGAGGACUUGGAGCCCCCAUGGGCGCUUUAAAGAGCCGCUACAUCUGAGGCGCUGAAAUAUUAAAAAAACGGAAUGGGAGAACCAUAAAAAAAAAAAAAAAAUUUAAAUAGUGAAAUAAAGUAAAGGAGUGGCAGUGAGAGAGAAUUGUGCCACCUUGUCACCCGAGGACGUAUAUCAGAAAUAUUAAUUCUGUGAUGAGAAUGACGCACUGCAUGACAAGAGGAUUGAUGUCAGUUAAAACCCUAAAAGGAGUAAAAAAAAAUGAGGAGACAUUUAUCAGAGCGAGUGUGAAUAGGCUGCUGUAUAGGAACAAGAGAUGGAGAUGUUGGGAAGGAGAUGACUAAAUUCACAACAUAAUUUUUUUUUACAUUUUUCCCUAGUUUACAAUAAUAAAAAAAAUCCUUUUAUUUGACCAGUAACCUCCCUUACAUGUGUUCUCAUUUACAAUGUAGUAAAGUGACAACCAUCUUUAUUUAAAAAGAGGCGAGCUAUAACAAAGCACUUGAGUAACUGCCAUUAACAGUGUCUUCACAGUGAGUCCUCUGUCAGGCUGGCAGAUAUAAAUGGGCAAUUUUUAAUACAGAUUCAACAGAGUUUGCUUUUUAAAAUUUCCCUUUUGCUUUGCUCACAGUUAUGUAAAAUUAGUAAUAUACCAACUAAAUUUUUUUGUACCUGUGAUGCGGCAGUAGUAAUACCUUUUUCUCUAUAUGUUUUAAAUAUAACAUAUAACUACAACGGUAUUUAUUGAAUGCAAUUAAUUAAUACAUUUGUAUUUGUUUGCGUUCAAGUGAAAACAUAUAUAUCACUGAUUGUUUUUAGGAACUAAUAUGUAAUUAGCCAGCCAAAAUAAACUUUUUGAGAUUAGGAAUACCUACUCUACACUGACCCUAAUAGCACAAGAAUGAACUCUCGUUUUCAAACAUUAAAUGUUUUUCUUUUUAAAUAAAAAACUUAAUAUCAUCCACAGUGCAGCUGAAAUAGUGUGUCAGAUUUAGCAGCAGUAAGCAGACAGUCUAAAGUUACUAAUAGUACUUUGCUACCCAGCUGACUGCUGAUGCCAUUUUAAUGUAAGUAUUUUGUCAUCAUUCACUUACUGUAGAUAUAUAAAAGUUAGAGUUUGCAAAAAGUUAUUUUUAGACCUGUGCCUUACUGUAACAGUAAAAAUAAAAAUGCAUGCAAAUAAGUAAAGAAUCAUUUUUCUGAACUGAAAUACAGUGUUCACCAAAACGUAGAAUAAAUAAGGUUUUUAAAUAAAUAAUCUUCACUGUAAAUUCAUAAUCUUAAAUAGUCUUGCGUUCUCUUCAUGGUCAUCACUUUUAACAGUAAAUAUAACUUUUAGUUUAUACAGUGCCACCAAAUUCAGUGCUUUAUAUGUAUUUUUUUUGCAUAAAAUUAGUUUUUAUGUUUAAUAUCUCCUCAAAAAGUAAUCUUUUGCAUUUGCAGUUAAUAUCUUAUCAUACACAAAAACAAUAUUAAUUGCUAUGCCAGUGUUAACACAGUGCAUUUAAUUUUUUUAUUUAUUAAACACUCACUUUGUGUUCCUCAUAUUCCCAUCACUCUCAUACCACUAUUUGAAAUGCAAACUGGAGAGUUGUGAAUGAUAUAUUAUAAUAAAAUAAUUUAUCAUGAAAGGC